GACGAACGCUGGCGGCGUGCUUAACACAUGCAAGUCGAACGGAAAGGCCCUGCUUUUGUGGGGUGCUCGAGUGGCGAACGGGUGCGUAACACGUGAGUAACCUGCCCUUGACUUUGGGAUAACUUCAGGAAACUGGGGCUAAUACCGGAUAGGAGCUCCUGAUGCCUGGUAGGGGUUGGAAAGUUUCGGCGGUUGGGGAUGGACUCGCGGCUUAUCAGUUUGUUGGUGGGGUAGUGGCUUACCAAGGCUUUGACGGGUAGCCGGCCUGAGAGUGUGACCGGGCACAGGGGGACUGAGAUACGGCACAGACUCCUACGGGAGGCAGAAGUGGGGAAUAUUGCACAAUGGGCGGAAGCCUGAUGCAGCAACGCCGCGUGCGGGAUGACGGCCUUCGGGUUGUAAACCGCUUUCGCCUGUGACGAAGCGUGAGUGAAGGUAAUGGAUAAAGAAGCACCGGCUAACUACGUG
rnacentral:rRNA from 1 species